rnacentral:rRNA from 1 species
GUGGGGAAUCUUGCGCAAUGGGCGAAAGCCUGACGCAGCCAUGCCGCGUGAAUGAUGAAGGUCUUAGGAUUGUAAAAUUCUUUCACCGGGGACGAUAAUGACGGUACCCGGAGAAGAAGCUCCGGCUAACUUCGUGCCAGCAGCCGCGGUAAUACGAAGGGGGCUAGCGUUGCUCGGAAUUAUUGGGCGUAAAGGGCGCGUAGGCGGACAGCUUAGUCAGAGGUGAAAGCCCAGGGCUCAACCUUGGAAUUGCCUUUGAUACUGGCUGUCUUGAGUUUGGGAGAGGUGAGUGGAACUCCGAGUGUAGAGGUGAAAUUCGUAGAUAUUCGGAAGAACACCAGUGGCGAAGGCGACUCACUGGCCCAAUACUGACGCUGAGGCGCGAAAGCGUGGGGAGCAAACAGGAUUAGAAACCCCGGUAGUCC